rnacentral:sRNA from 1 species
UGGAGUCAACACGGUUGAACCUGCGGAC